rnacentral:lncRNA from 13 species
AUGGUACUGAGGACUGAGGCGUCCAUACCAGACAACCGUAUUGAUGCUAUACUCAAAUCUUUUAAAAUGGACAAUCCUGUGAGUGUUGACACCCUUAACGUCACAACAGAUUGUGUCCCUCUUCAAAACAAAACUCAGUGCAAAUGCACACCAGGGCAUAUCUGGAGUGUUGCAGUAUGUCAGUCUUCACCUAACUGUUGUAAACUAAAAAACUGCACAUUUGAAACCACAGAAACAAAACCAAUGUGCCUCCCUGAAACAAGAGGUAUUCUGUGUGUGUGUGUGUGUGUGUGUGUGUGUGUGUGUGUGUGUGUGUGUGUGUGUGUGUGUGUGUGUGUAAUCCAAAAUGUGUACAUAAUCAAACAUACCAGUCUGUCAACAGUUUGCAUUUUCACAAGCCAGUUCAAAGACAGAAUGCAAAAGGCCCAGUACACAUUGCAAAUAAUGAUCUCUUUUAUUCACAGUUACUGUCAUUGGACAACUUAACAUAGCUGGAAGGGUAUAUUUUGAAAGUUACAGCAAUCCAAAUUCUAAUGAAUAUAAAACCUUGCAUGAUGAAUUAUUGCCAAAGGUAUUUGUCAAAUUUAUACUGUACAUAUACAAAUGGUUUAAAAUAUGGGAAUGGGUUACUACAAUGUUCUAAUGACACACACAGAAUGCAAACAAUUUUUUCUUUGUUUUAGCUGAAAGCGGUGUACAGUACAUUGAAUUCAUUUGAUGACAUACACAUCACAGGGUUCAGGUAAUUCAGCUCGUUUACAAAUGAUGUUACGUUUUUUUGUGGGAUCGACAUACAGUAGACCUGAUCUUGUCCCUGGUUUUUGCUUUAAGUCGUGGCAGUGUCAUCAUUGCUUUUGAAAUGAACCUCAACGACGUUUCAGCUGAUGUCCUUGCAAGCAAAACAGCAGAAUUGGAAAAAAUACUGAAUUCUACGUUCACGCUAGAGACAGCAGGUAUGUCUAUCUAAAUCAGGGGCUAGCUACAUCGGGGGCCGUAUGUAUCAAGCAUAUCACAGUAUGAGUGCUGAUUUAGUAUCAGUAUGGCCUUUUAGAUCACAAUGGCUGUGCUUAUUUACACAGGCAGCCAAUUCUGACCUUGUUUCUCAAAUUGCCCAAUUAGUGGCAAAAGAGCUAAUCUGAUUAGUGACAAAAUAUUAGAAUUGGUCUGACUGUAUGAACAGUUAUUAAUAAUAGUAUAUGGACAAGGGGACCUGAUCCUAGAUCAGCAUUCCUACUCUGGGAUGCUUGAUACAGUGCCUUCGGAAAGUAUUCAAUUAAUAAUAGUAUAUGGACAAGGGGACCUGAUCCUAGAUCAGCAUUCCUACUCUGGGAUGCUUGAUACAGUGCCUUCGGAAAGUAUUCAGACCUCUUCACUUUUUCAACAUUUUGUUAUGUUUACAGCCUUAUUCUAAAAUGUAUUAAAUUGUUUUCCCCCCCUCAUCAAUCUACACAUAAUACACCAUAAUGACAAAGCAAAAACAGGUUUUUAGAAAUUGUUGCAAAUGUAUAAAUAAAUAAAAACUGAGAUAUCACAUUACUCAGUACUUUGUUGAAGCACCUUUGGCAGCAAUUACAGCCUCAAGUAUUCUUGGGCAUGACGCUACAAGCUUCGCAUGUGAUGUCUAAUAUUAAAGAAGUCUUGAGGUAUUGCUUGACUGAGGUAGAGUACCUUAUAAUGAGUUGUAGAUCACAAUAUUUACCAAGAGAGUUCUCAUCUAUAUUAUUCGUAGCCGUCUAUUUACCACCCCAGACCGAUGCUGGCACUAAGAUCGCACUCAGCCAACUCUAUAAGGCCAUAAGCAAACAAGAAAAUGCUCAACCAGAAGCAGCGCUCCUAGUUGCCGGGGACUUUAAUGCAGGCUAACAAAUCCGUUUUUACAUUUUUUUUACCAGCAUGUCACAUGUGCAACCAGAGGAAAAAAGAACUAGGCCACCUUUACUCCACACACAGAGAUGCAUACAAAGCUCUCAUCCCACCCUCCAUUUGGAAAAUAUGACCAUAAUUCUAUCCUCCUGAUUCCUGCUUACAAGCAAAAACUAAAGCAGGAAGUACCAAUGACUCGCUGAAUAUGGAAAUGGUCAGAUGACGUGGAUGCUACGCAACAGGACUGUUUUGCUAGCACAGACUGGAAUUUGUUCCGGGAUUCAUCCAAUGGCAUUGAGGAGUAUACCACCUCAGUCAACGGCUUCAUCAAUAAGUGCAUCGACAACAUCGUCCCCACAGAGACCGUACAUACAUAUCCCAACCAGAAGCCAUGGAUUACAGGCAAUAUCCUCAUCAAGCUAAAGGCUAGAGCUGCCGCUUUCUUUUUUUAAAUAAAAAAAAAAAAAAAAAAAAAUGUUUUAUUUUUUGAAUUUUACCCCUUUUUCUCCCCAAUUUCGUAGUAUCCAAUUGUUGUAGUAGCUACUAUCUUGUCUCAUCGCUACAACUCCCGUACGGGCUCGGGAGAGACGAAGGUUGAAAGUCAUGCGUCCUCCGAUACACAACCAACCAAGCCGCUGCUUCUUUAACACAGCGCACAUCCACCCCGGAAGCCAGCCGCACCAAUGCGCCGGAGGAAACACUGUGCACCUGGCCACCUUGGCUAGCGUACACUGCGCCCAGCCCGCCACAGGAGUCGCUGGUGCGCGAUGAGACAAGGACACCCCUACCGACCAAGCCCUCCCUAACCCGGGCGACGCUAGGCCAAUUGUGCGUCGCCCCACGGACCUCCCGGUCGCGGCCGGUUAGAGCUGCCGCUUUCAAGGAGUGGGACACUAAUCC